rnacentral:rRNA from 2 species
UCGCCUGUUUAUCAAAAACAUUUCUAAAUGAAAAUUAUUUUUAGUAAGACCUGCUCAAUGAUAUUUUAAAUUGCCGCAUUCAAUGUGCUAAGGUAGCAUAAUCAUUUGCCUUUUAAUUGUAGGCUUGCAUGAAUGGUUAUUCAUGUAGAUUUCUUUAUUAAUUUUAUAACUUUAAGUUUUCUUAAAAGUUAAAAGACUUUUAUUUAUAAGAGGGACGACAAGACCCUAUCGAGCUUUACUUAUGUUGAACUGGGGCGGUAAAAAACAAAUUCUUUUUUAUUUUCUUUCAAACAUUCUUUUUAUAAAAUCUUUUUAAGUUACCGUAGGGAUAACAGCAUUAUUUUCUUUUAUAGUUCCUAUUAAAAAGAAAGUUUAUGACCUCGAUGUUGAAUUAUUAAUCUUUUUGAAGCAAAAUUCAAAAAAGAAAGUCUGUUCGACUUUUAAAAUUUUACGUGAUCUGAGUUC